CCACUCCCUACCAACAGAACACAAUCCAUAACCCUGGGUCUUGAGACUCUACAGUGGAGUCCUACUUUGUUGAGGUGUGAAGAAAGCAUGCAGGAGCCAGGUACUUGGGACUGAGUGGCUUCCAGAACAGAGCCUUUCCUCUGCCACACAAAGCUGCUGAGAGGCUGGCUCAUUUCCAGGCUGAGGCAAAGAUCUAGCAGAGAGGGAGAUGUGAGCCAGAGAGGAAAGCAAGGCCCAGCCAAGGACUCUGCCUCGAAAUGGGGACAACCCUUCUAAGAUGGAAAGACCAGAAGGAAUAUAUCUGCUCUGUGUGGUACCAAGAGAAGAUAGAAUGGUGUCAUGUAAUGGGCCAGGUCCCCACACCUCCUGUUCAGGGACUUCGCUGAGACGUAAGUAUAGUCACAUCCAUUUAAUAGAUAAGGAUCCAGAACUUUCCUGAGAAGUCAGAGCUAGCCAGGGGGGCAGUUCAGGGAUCCAAAUCCAGUUCCUCAAAGAUAGAGGCCUAGAUCCUCUGCCUUGAAUUUAAAUCCUUUUCCAUGGCCCACAGAUUUCUAGAAAAAAAUUAGCAUGCCCUUGACUUCCCACUCAUGCACAGAUCACCCCAGAGUCUACUUCCAGGACUUAAAACCUAGAGGUUUCCCCCACAGGUCUGAGUCCCAAAGACGCAGCCAGCAGAGGCUGCCUAAACCCUCCUCUUGACAAUCUCGCUGGCAGAAUCCCAGAGCUGCAGAGCUGAGGGAUUGAGGAAGAAGGCUUUGAAGUCUCCCUCAUAGGGAGCUGCAGAAAGCGGCUUGUUGUCUUAUGCAGAGAGCAGUUGAGGAUAUCAAAGGGAAGAUAGGAUGUUAAAUUUGAGUGAUCAAUGUUUAAUAGUCAUGGUUGUAAGCUGUCACGGGGGAUGCACUGGGUGGGGAGCCUCACAAGUUGCAGGAUUUGAGCUACCAGUGCUGUAGGCUGUGGAGGAGCCCUCUGGCAUCCCUGUGAGCAGGGAGAAUGGAUGAAGAGGUACAGGGGUGAGCCCACACCCCUCUACCUGGCUGCUUAUGUGAGAGGGGUCGCCUAGAAGAAGGCCAUGAUCAGGGGGAAAGUGAACACAUAAACUCUGCCCAAGGAGCAAUCAGUCACACAGAUGCUGGCUUCUCCUUAUCAGGAUGGUCAAGGGCAGCUGUGUUCCAGCACCCAGCAAGGCAGAGUGGGGUCCACCCUGGGCUUAAAGGGACUUGAAGAUCUAGGUCUUGGAAAUUUUGCCAGGGAAAACGUUGACAUUCCAUUGAAACUUCUGCGGGAAAUUCCAGACUAAGGGCAGUAGGAGGAGAUUGUGUGGACUCCAGGAGAGGGUGAUGCUAGGGAGAGAUGGGGCCUUCCUCUGCAGGGCAGUCCUGAGGAGCAGUGGAGUAGCUCCUUCCAAAUAUCCUAACCUCCAUGAUGUCUGUCACCUUUCCUUUCACAGAAGGAGCUCGGAGGAAUGUCAGCUCCCUUGUGUUGUGGUUUGAAGACCCUAGCAGAUGGGGGGAGCUACCCCAGACCAGGCCCUCUGUCACCUUCAUGGGUUGACAUGGCAGGGAACUCAGCUCUGACCCCUCCCCCUCUGGAGCUCCCAGGCAUGCAGGGCUGUGGAGGGGCAGGGCUGAGGACCAGGAGGAGCGCUCCCUAAAAGCUUUCUUGGCUGAAGAGCAGGAGACAAGCUGGGCUGUCCCCACAGGCAGCCCUCAUCUGUUCCCAAAUUCGGGCAUCCCAAGAGAGCGUCAGGAAAGGCUUAGAGGAGUGGGGAUGUGGACUGACGGGCUAACAAGUCAGGAAACCUCAGCCUCAGUGCCUGGCUAGGCAGGGGCCGCCAGACCUCACAUGGCUGCCUGCCACCUCCUGAGCAAAACACAAUUUCACGACUCUUUGGGGGAUAAAGGAUUUUAUUUACCUCUUUUCAAAAGCUUCAGAAUUCUUCCUGAACAUCAAAUAACUCCUGGCAAACACAUCCCUGAUGAGGAACAUGAAGUGAAACAGAACCAGAUGGGCUGACUCGCUCUGGGCUCUGGGCUCGCACGGAGGAGGAAGGGCAGAUCUCACUCACAGUGAGGCUGGGCUGUGGGCCACAGGAAGUGCAUCGGGAGGGGGGCACAGCCUUCCAGGCAGGGUGGGGGACAAAGUCCCCUGGACCUUGCCGGAGAUGGAGUCACACUGCCUGCCAUCUGGCUUUGUUGGGAAGAGAAAAGAAGUGGGGCUUCCGGCAGCCUGUUGGUGGCACCCCAGCAGUGUGGAUCUUGCCAAAACCUGGCAUCUAAGGCACUGGGGACCCAGUGGACCCUGAAAGGUAAGUUAGUGUCAUGUGAUGGGAAGAUGGAGUAGCCAGUGUAUUUAGAGGCCUCUAACCCUCCUGAGGACACUGCUAACUGUCCAAACAGUCACUCAUUUUGUCUUUCCUGAACUGGUUCCAGUCGGCUGAAACACAGCAUUUCCCAGCCUCUCAAGAGGAGGCACAGCGGCGGCAGGCCUGACCAGCGGCAAGCAGGGUCCACAGGGACGGCUGUGAGCUUCACCUGGCUCUUCCUCCAGACAUCGCUCCUUUCUUGGCACAUCCUCGACCCCCAGGAGGGAGGCUGCCGCUGGAGACGAGCUGACCAAGGCUGGUGGGACAGGAUGAAGCAGCCUGGGUCCUCCAAGCUCUGUAGAGCCACUGCCUCAGCCUUGAACAUCUCCAGCAUUGUGCCUGUCGGUAAGGCUGAACUGCUGUGGGGCUCAGCAGACAGUGUCACGGUUCUCUGUGGAAUAUAGUCCAGAGCGAUCCUGGCACCAGACCAGUGUUCUCAGUCCCAGGUGGGCAGUCCCAGAAAUUCAGACUCACGUAUGUGCUACACCUGCGCUAAACUCGUAUGCUCCCUAGACUCUGUAGCUAGAGUUUUCCUGCCUUGCCCACAGUCAGGACAAAUCUUUGUCACCCGCCAGUCCCACAGCUGCUCAGACCCAACCAAGUAAACACAGAA